UGUCUAGGGGCUCAAACCUAAAGAACCUAAAUAUCUAAACGAAGAAAUUCAGUAUCGUAUAGUAAUAUACGAUAUGCACUUUUCUUCUAGUAAGACACUGUGAUUCAUUAGGAAAUGAUACUAUUAUAUAGUUAUCAAUUGGCUACCAAUAGAGCAAUUCGAAGUUCAUGAAUGCAAAUAAUACAAUUAUUUAUUAAACGAUUGUAUAUAUUGCCUUGUGAGCGUUUUGCAUACUGUUUUGUAGCUGCCUGAUGGGUUUUAAAGGCCAUAUUAUUGAUGUUUAGGCAUCACCCAUUUUAUAUGGGUAAAAGAAUAUGUGCCCGAUCAACAGUGGUUAAAUUUGGGAUACCUUUGGGACCCGUCUUGAAACACGGACCAAGGAGUCUAUCUAUUAUGCAAGUAAAUGGGCAUUAAUAAAACCUAUUUGCGUAAAUAAAUUAACUUUUAUUAUGGGAUAACGAGCGUUACUAUGAAUUUAGUGCGUUCCUCCAUCCCGGGGUAUUUUCAUUAACAUAUUAUUUUAUAAUAUGGAAAAUAUACCAUGAGCAUAUUGGAUAUGACCCGAAAGAUGGUGAACUAUGCCUGAUCAGGUUGAAGUCAGGGGAAACCCUGAUGGAGGACCGAAGCAAUUCUGACGUGCAAAUCGAUUGUCAGAAUUGGGCAUAGGGGCGAAAGACCAAUCGAACCAUC
rnacentral:rRNA from 1 species